UUGCCAACAGGGAGUAUUACCUGUUGGCAAAUUAAGUAGCAUGUAGCG
rnacentral:ncRNA from 1 species